AUUGAACGCUGGCGGCAGGCUUAACACAUGCAAGUCGAGCGCGCGGCGGACGGGUGAGUAAUGUCUGGGAAACUGCCUGAUGGAGGGGGAUAACUACUGGAAACGGUAGCUAAUACCGCAUACCAUCAGAUGUGCCCAGAUGGGAUUAGCGAGUAGGUGGGGUAAUGGCUCACCUAGGCGACGCUCCCUAGCUGGUCUGAGAGGAUGACCAGCAACACAGAAACUGAGACACGGUCCAGACGCCUAAGGGAGGCAGCAGUGGGGAAGAUUGCACAAUGGGCGCAAGCCUGAUGCAGCCAUGCCGCGUGUGUGAAGAAGGCCUUCGGGUUGUAAAGCACUUUCAGCGAGGAAGCGUUACGCGCAGAAGAAGCACCGGCUAACUCCGUGCCAGCAGCCGCGGUAAUAC
rnacentral:rRNA from 1 species